CAAACGUAUGUAUAUAUAUAUAAUGUGAGGCUACUAUGCUUCUGGUAGCACGGAGCCUUCCGUGCUUCCAGAUUAUUUUCGAUGUUAAUGCGACUUUCAAAUCGUCGAUCGGCUCCAUUAAACUUGAUCUAGAAUAUUUGAAGUAGCUAGAAAAUAAAUUUUAUGAUUUUUCGAUAUCAUUUACCUAGUGAUCGAAGGGGCUCAAAAUCAAUAAUUUUAAUGGCCGUAGUGAGCCGUUUGGAAGUUUAAUCGGUGUAGAAAUAUCCAAAUCAUGUGAAAUUUUGAUAAAAAAUUCUUUAUACUAUAUAAAACAAGAUCAAUAUCUUUGAUCUAAACUUUUAAUAUCAUAUUAUCAUGUUUUGUAAGAUUUUUAUUUUCAGG
rnacentral:lncRNA from 1 species